AAGGUAGCGAAAUUCCUUGUCGGGUAAGUUCCGACCUGCACGAAUGGAGUAACGACUUCCCCGCUGUCUCAACCAUGAACUCGGCGAAAUUGCAGUACGAGUAAAGAUGCUCGUUACGCGCAGCAGGACGGAAAGACCCCGAGACCUUUACUAUAGUUUGGUAUUGGUGUUCGGUGUGGCUUGUGUAGGAUAGGUGGGAGACGGUGAAGCGGGCACGCCAGUGCACGUGGAGUCAACGUUGAAAUACCACUCUGGUCACUCUGGACAUCUAACUUCGGCCCGUGAUCCGGGUCAGGGACAGUGCCUGAUGGGUAGUUUAACUGGGGCGGUUGCCUCCUAAAGAGUAACGGAGGCGCCCAAAGGUUCCCUCAGCCUGGUUGGCAAUCAGGUGUCGAGUGUAAGUGCACAAGGGAGCUUGACUGUGAGAGCGACAGCUCGAGCAGGGACGAAAGUCGGGACUAGUGAUCCGGCGGUACAUUGUGGAAUGGCCGUCGCUCAACGGAUAAAAGGUACCUCGGGGAUAACAGGCUGAUCUUGCCCAAGAGUCCAUAUCGACGGCAUUGUUUGGCACCUCGAUGUCGGCUCAUCGCAUCCUGGGGCUGGAGCAGGUCCCAAGGGUUUGGCUGUUCGCCAAUUAAAGCGGUACGUGAGCUGGGUUUAGAACGUCGUGAGACAGUUCGGUCCCUAUCUGCCGUGGGUGUAGGAUACUUGAGAGGAGUUGCCCCUAGUACGAGAGGACCGGGGUGAACGAUCCACUGGUGGACCUGUUGUGGCGCCAGCCGCAGUGCAGGGUAGCUAUGAUCGGAAAGGAUAACCGCUG
rnacentral:rRNA from 12 species